rnacentral:lncRNA from 1 species
AUUCCUUCUCCCUUGCUGAAACAUCCAGCCGGUGCCUUUGUGGCCUCUUGGGCUGGGUUGCAAUCUCAUGCCAACCCGCUUGCCGGUUGUCAGGAGGCCUCUGGGGAGGACGCUGCAGGAGCCUCAAACGCCACCUACUCCCGGCCUCUCUCCCGGUUGAUGUUUCUAUUUUGGGCACCACAUUAUUUCCUGCUGUGAUUUUUUUUUUCAGGCUUCUAAUUCAGGCUCUGAGGAAUGGGAGUCCAACGCUUCCGUGUCCGAAGUCUGUUUAACUAUAUUUGGACAAUGACCCUUUAGAGAUGCUGAUAAAGGCUACACAGAAUCCCAGAAACUGUCCACAACAAACUCACAGGUAGGUUCCUGGUAAUUUUGGGUUUGUGCACUUCCUUGAGUCGGGGAGCCCUUGUUCAAAGCCCUGGGUAUGCAUGGACGCCUCCCUCCCUGAUCUCUCCUCUCAACCUCAGUAUGCCUCAUUAUAUUUAAUCAAUAUGUGCUUAAAAAGAAGAAGUCUCUGUAUGUGCAAGUACUUCAAGCACAGGCAGAUUAUAAGCUAUGUCCUUAGGGAAACAACAGCCUCUUAAAACUGUCUUCUGGUUUACUCCCAAGGACCUGCUGGCCAUCUGGCAGUGAGGGCACCCACUGCAUUGGGUUCUGGCAGAUUUAAGUUCCGAACUCAAUUAAGUAGGCUCUGUUUUUGUUUUUCCUGACUUCUCUCUCACAGCAGACAAAAUGGUAAAGCUCCCGGGAGUCUCACCCAUCCCAGUCCAUGGGGGUGACUUUAGCUGAGACUCCUAGCAGUGAGGAUAUGGAGCCUGUUGUGCUUGUAGACAGGAGCCUAGCAUAACUCCUCUGACAGCUACCCAGCAGCUGACUGAAACAGAUGCUGAGUCCCACAGUCAAACAUUAAAUGGAGCUUGGGGACUCUUGUGGAAGAGUUGUGGGAAGGAUUGCAGGCCCUGAAGGAAAUAGGAACUCUACAAGAAGACCAACAAAGUCAACUAACCUGGACCACUAGGGGCUCCCAGAAACUGAACCAUCAACCAAAGAGCAUACACAGGCUGGACCUAGGCCUCCUUGCACAUAUGGAACAGAUAUGUAGCUUGGUCUUCAUGUGGAUCUCCCAACAACUGGAGCAAGGGCUGUCCCUGAAUCUGUUGCCUGCCUGUGGGUCCUGUUCCCUUAACUAGGCUGCCUUGUCUGGCCUCAGUGGGAAAGGAUGUGCCUAGCCCUGCAAAGACUUGAUGUACCUAGGUUGGGGGAUAACCGAGGGAAGAGGGAGGGUUCCAUCUUCUCAGAGGAAAAGGGGAUGGGGGACUGUGUGAAGGAGGUACGGGGAGAGGGGAGCAGCAAUUGGGAUGUAAAGUGAAUAAAUAUAUAUAUCAAUGAAUAAGUAGGAAAAACGAUCAAGUUCCUCACAUGGCUGAAAGUGAAAGAGGCAGCGUCUUUUAAAAGGUCUUGGUCACUGGAGGUUUUUUUUUGCUUUUGAAUCACAUGCACCUUGUCUGCUGUUGCCUUUAUGAACAUGUAACAUCCAAUAAAUUUUGUUUUUUAAAUCUUUAUCAUA